CGGGCUCAGCGCGGCGUGGGGCGGAAUAAGCACUCCGCUUAAGCCCGGAGACUGCAGAAAUUACGUUCCUGACCUUGGUCCAUCGUUUGAAAAUUACUGCUCUAGG